CUUGACAAUCUGCACAUCUGGGAGACUAUCAAGAAAUGCUUUGAGGUCGAUGCCAUUCAGCACAAUCCGAUUGUCAUAAAUGUGCCCAUUGGACUUAAAAUCGAUGACUGCCUUCUUCUUCAGCUGCAUGCAGUGUCUCUCAGCUGCCUCAAAAUCUCCUGCCUGAUACUCUCGAUGUGCCAACUCAGCUAACCCUUGGAAGGAAAGCAUACGUUUCGUUGGUUCUGUGCUGUCGGCCACGUUGCCCACAGAAGACGCCAUCUGGAGCUUCUGGAGAGAGUGAGAAAAGGGGGUAAUUGAGUCCCGCUGCCGCCACUACUGGCAAGAAUAUUUCUAGAGGUAGCAAGUACGAGGGCAGCAGCCGUACCACUGCUUUGACAGGCUUAAGCGGCGGCGACAGUUACAGGCACCGAACCUUAGGAACUCUGGUUGGUCGUCUAACUCUCACGCUCUUGAAAUCUUAAUUCUUAACCCUGCCCUCUUCCACCAUUUUUCUCCUAAUCAGGGAAUAAAAAUUACCUAUACACUUGCCUUAGAAGAAAUCAAAAGUCAGUAGUCCAAACACUUUUCAAAAUUUUGAUUUCUGCCCAGUUGGAAAGGAAAUACAUGAUUGACUUUACUUCAUCAUUCAUAUAGUCAAUGUGGAAAACAUUAGGGCCGUGAAUUUCAAUACAGUAAGAUCAGAAAAUUUUAAAUUGGCCUUCCCAAACCACUAAUAAGUAACCGAUGUUGUAUAUAAUGCUAAAAUCUUAGAGACUGAGUUUGAUAUUUUAAAAGUUCUGAAAGGAUUAGCUAAUUUCUCCUCAUCAUAUUUCUCAUGCCUCAAACCUGAGUAUUACAUUUUUAAAAAUAAAUUUAUUUAUCUUUAUUUAUUUAUUUUUAUUUUGGCUGCGUUGGGUCUUCAAUGCUGCGUGCAGACUUUCUCUAGUUGCGGCGAGCGGGGGCUACUCUUUGUUGCGGUGCCUGGGCUUCUCAUCACAGCAGCUUCUAUUGUUGUUCCACAACUCUAUGGGUUCCUUUUUAGGUCCUAUGAAGAACCCUAGAAAUUAGUUCAUGGAAUUAUAAGUUUUUGCAAAAUUGUCAAAAGUGAGAUAUUUUAACUUCCAUCAGGUAAGACCAGCGUCUCUUUCUUUGCCAAUUUUCCUUCUAUCAUAUUCCGUUAUGUUGGAUCAUAUUGGAAUGGCCACAGGCUUUUUUGAAAUCUGGCUAAGGAGAUUUUCUUUUUUCUGUGGUACGCGGGCCUCUCACUGUUGUGGCCUCUCCCGUUGUGGAGCACAGGCUCUGGACGCACAGGCUCAGCGGCCAUGGCUCACGGGCCUAGCCGCUCCGCGGCACGUGGGAUCUUCCCGGACCGGGACACGAACCCGUGUCCCCUGCGUCGGCAGGUGGACUCUCAACCACUGCGCCACCAGGGAAGCCCUAAGGAGAUGUUUUAAGUGAGGCUAUUAUGUGAUUUUCAGACACCGCCAUAUGUAAUUGACUAUAUACUAUCCCAUUACAGGAAUAACUUCCAGUACUCAUACUGACUACUCUACUGACUUAACCUAGCACAAGACACAGAAGCAUAAGGACAAAAACCACCUUACAAUAUAGCCAUGUCUUGCACUUCACAGCUCUCAAAGCAUGUGCGUUUGAAGAAGAAAAAAAGAACUGAAAAGUACAAAACCAGAAGCUAUUCUGUGGAAAAUUAUUUCAAUCAUCAGGCAUGUGAAAGAUAAGUCAAAGAUUCAGUUCUCAUCAAUGCUUAGUCAAAACGGAAAUUUUCUUCUGUCAAGGAUAUACUCCAGGGGCUUCCCUGAUGGCGCAGUGGUUAAGAAGCCACCUGCCAAUGCAGGGGACAAGGGUUCGAUCCCACGGAGCAACUAAGCCGGUGUGCCACAACUACGGAACCUGCGCUCUAGAGCCCGUGAGCCACGACUAUUGAGCCUGCAAGCCACAACUACCGAAGCCUCCGUGCCUAGCGCCCGUGCUCUGCAACAAGAGAAGCCACCGCAAUGAGAAGCCUGUGCACCGCAACAAAGAGUAGCCCCCAGUCCCUGCAAGUAGAGAAAGCCUGCACACAGCAACGAAGACCCAACACAGCCAAAAAUGAAUGAAUGAAUGAAUGAAUGAAUGAAUAUACUCCAUCAACAAUGUGUGUAAUGGAAUGGUGUGAAUGAGUAUUUUAUCAGAAUCCCUGUAAUGCACAAACCUAUAGCAGUACUGAAAUCAGUAAUGCAUUUAUAAUAGUAAAUACUUAUGAGGAAGUAAUCCAUAGAGGUUUUCUCCAAGUUAACAAUGAAAAUUAAUGUGACAUUAUCAAUAAUAAAUUGUGAAGCUGAAAUAAACUUUUCUAAACUAUUAAUAACUAGAAGCAAAUUCUAAUCAACCAUGUUACAAGAAAUCUAUGUCUAAAAACUACAAAGUUUAUUUCUUAAAAUUUUAUUUCGAAAAUACAUAAACUGUCAUAUGAGGAGGCAGUUAAAGAAUAUAUAGCUAAAAGAGUGGGGGAAAAGCUUUAUAGAGACACAUCUGGCAGUAGUUCAUUUUUAAAUGUCAUUUUUCUAGAUUUUGUGACACCUAUAGUAUUGAUAUUUGAAAGCAUUUAAAAAAUUGUAAUUUGAAGAUUUGCUACUUCCAGGUAGAAUAAAAUAUUUUGAAGCAAAACAACGUUUCCACUGAGAAAAACAAAAAAAGCCAAAUAAAAUAGCCAGCAUUCAAUCAAAAAGUUCUAGACAAACCAAGAGAUAGAAUCAUAUGGCUAAAAUUCUAAGAAAAGAGCAGAUAAUACAAAAAUAUUUAUAUAAGAUAUUGUGUAUCUUUAUCAGGAAAAGUCUUUAUCAAGAAAAGACUUUAAAAUCAUCAGAAUUAAUAUUAUAUUUUAUUUAUUUGUAUAUUAUAUUUAUAUAGAGAUAUUUAUAUAUUUAUAUAAAGAACUUAAAGAUAAAGCCCUAGUUAAGGCAGUGACAAUAGCAGUAGCAGUGGGAGUGAAAAGAAAUGGUUAUAUUCAAGCAUACUUUGUCAGGAAAAGUCCAAGAUCAAAUGUCUGACUGCAUACAUGGGAUGGAUAGACGGAGUGGGAAAAAUCAAAGUUAACUAUAGAGGUUCUAGUGAAGAUGGGGUUGCCGUCACCCAACCCAAGGGGCUGCGAUCAUCCCCAAGGUCUAGGAGACUCAAAGGGAAGGUCAUGGUCAGAGGCAAAGUUAAUUGGUGGGAAAAUAAGACUCCCAGUCUCUCCAUCUCCUUAUACCAGUUUUUUUUUUUAACAUCUUUAUUGGAGUAUAAUUGCUUUACAAUGGUGUGUUAGUUUCUGCUUUAUAACAAAGUAAAUCAGUUAUACAUAUGUCCCCAUAUCUCCUCCCUCUUGCAUCUCCCUCUCUCCCACCCUCCCUAUCCCACCCCUCUAGGUGGUCACAAAGCACCGAGCGCAUCUCCCUGUGCUAUGCGGCUGCUUCCCACUAGCUAUCUAUUCCUUAUACCAGUUUUGUUUUUCUGCUCAUAUACGUAGCAGCAUUUCAUUCAAGGGGAAAGUCAUUGAUCUGACUGGUCAAAUUAAACAACAUAGUUCACGGCACAUUUACAAUGCUUAGUUCCUCCACAAUUUAGAAAGUCACAUUCACAAUUUCCCUCUUCCUACGCCGUGGAACACAUUGGCCAUUCCUCCAAAGUUUCCACUCCACAGAGUGGACCAGAGAUGACGUGAGCCCAGAACUGAGAGCUUGGCAUGAGACGGUGUCAGCCCCACGUAGAGCUCUGGCAUAAGUUAUAACCCAUCGCAGCUCUACAGAGAGCUCUGCAUGGAAUCCUGGGAGUAAACUCAGCCAUAAUAAUGUGAUUCUGUUUUUCAUUUGCUUUUCUUCCUUGCUUAACUUUCCCUGGCCACUCUGACAAACAAACUUUCAGGCAUUCCUGGGCCACUCACUAACUUUAUUCCAUUUAAUCUCAUCCAGAUUCCCAAGAAAAUUACUAACUAUAAGGAGGGAUAUUUGGAACAUGGUGAGUUUUAGAUGCCUGAAACAUACAGGUCAUUGAAUCCAGUUAAGUAGCAAAUUAUCUGGAUCUCAAAUAUGCCAGUAGAAUAGCAGACUAAGCUCAAUUUAAUGUACUCUUACUGGAGACACAUGUAAAUUCUGGGUCAAUUUUGAAAAAGUUAAAAGCACAUAGCUGAGAUUAAAAGAAAGAAAGGAACACCUGCAUGUUUCAGAAAGUAACAGAGAAAUUAAAUCCAGAGAAAGAAGAGCGGACUGAUGUCUGUGGGUUCCGUUCCUUAGUAUAGGCCUUAUGUAAAUAGGGGCUGGAGCAAGAAAUCUAACAUUACCUUGUGGCCAGGAAUUUAUAGACUCAGGAUGGAACAAUAUUGAGAAGUUGGUACAGAUAUCCUACAGAAAUUUCAUGAGGAACUGCUUAGUCCAUUAAGAGGGCCAAGGGCGGUGGUGAGGAAGAUUGAUAUCUCUUGAAAACCUUCAGGUACAGAAAACAGCAACACCUCUGAAAAGUAGGCCUCUCCUUUCCAGCGUUGUGAUGGCCAGGUUGUCACUAACCUGUAAGGCCCUGUAUGAAUCAGAAACUGCAAGGAGAGUAAUUCAAAGAAAAACAGAUGCAGGAUGGGUGUGGCAAUAAAUCCUAGGACCCUAUCAGAAACAAAAUUAAAACCACUCUAAAGGGAAAUUUUAACAAACCAGGGCAGAUAGUAUCCUAACCAGAACAGAAUAAUAAUUCUGAGGAAGUUACUUUAGUUAUUUAAGUAAUAUUCAAUGCAUUUCCAUGGCCAGGCCCUUUUGAAGAAUUCUAAAACAUAUACAAACAAUUCGUUUACAUCUUCUAUAUCCCACCAUCCAGAGCAAAAUUCACUUAAGUACUGUACUGGUGGAAAUUGGGCAGCACUAUGGAGACAAUAAAAAGGUGUUUACCAUCAAAAAACGUCAAGCCACCUUUCCAGAUCUUUCCAGAACUCUCCAUCCUAGUUUCAUUAUGCCACAAGUUGAACAUCUCACAGGUCUCCAGGAUGCAUCCUCAUCACUUAUUCCACAAAGACAAACAAAGGACACUUCUCAGGAUCAAGUUUCUUGGAAGGAAGAGGUCAUGAGGAGUGAUUAUAAAUAACAUACUGGCACCAAACUUUCAAACAAUAAGAACCUUCCCAUAAGUCCCUUGCCAGGCAAGAUUAAGGUAUAACAAUCCAAACAGAUUUUUGAAGAAGAUAACUGGUUGAAAGCACAGGAAAAGAGCUGGGUUGCUCUUUUUCAACGGUCACAUGAUGAGUAAUGUGGGAAUUGGUUUACAAAGUCUCUCUCCAUGAGGGGCUAAGGUUAAGAUUAGAACUUCUGAGGCCAGAAGAGCAAAAUAACUACAACAACACACAUAUUUUCAAGAGCCGCCCUUUGGAUGUGAGGGAUUGAUUUUUCCCACGCUUUUUUCAGCAACCCAACUGGUGUCUUUAUUA